rnacentral:tRNA from 1 species
UGCCCGGUGGUGUAAACGGUAGCACAAGGGAUUUUGGUUCCCUUUGUCCAGGUUCGAAUCCUGGCCGGGCAG